rfam:Schistosoma mansoni strain Puerto Rico chromosome 2, complete genome
AUCCAGAUGACGAGUCCCGAAUAGGACGAAACGCACGACCUGAAU